UUUCCGUAGGUGAACCUGCGGAAGGAUCAUUAGAGUUAUAGUCCCCUGGCCCUCUGGGCUGGGGUCUUCUAUACCACCCUUUGUUUAUUACACCUUUGUUGCUUUGGCAGGCCUGCCCUCGGGCUGCUGGCUCCGGCCGGCGAGCGCCUGCCAGAGGACCUAAACUCUGUUUGUCUAUAAUGUCUGAGUACUAUAUAAUAGUUAAAACUUUCAACAACGGAUCUCUUGGUUCUG
rnacentral:misc_RNA from 1 species